GAGAGGGGGGAGUGAAAUGCAGCUGAGGUGGUGAUGGAACAGGCGUCAUCCUGCUGGGGGCUGUGCCGGGGAGCUGCGCGCCUCAGGGCCUUCGCUCGGAGAUGUUCGUGUGGGAACAUAAUGGGGAAGCAUGAACUUUUGCCAUUGUGACCCCUUCAUCCUGCAUGACUCACGGAUGAGAUGGGGCAGAUACAUCCCUCCAGGACGCUGGGAUUUCCUGCCCAGUCCGAUCGAAUGGAGAUAUCACAGCCACUGGGUAGAUCCUACAAGGAGAGAGGUUGAUCAGCUCCUUUGGGCAGGGGGUCUGGUGUCCAUACAGUGGAUGGAAGGAGCAGGGACACAAAGGAGAACUGUAGCCUGCACCCUCACUUCCUACAGCUCCACAGCUAAGUUUUUCCCCAUGUUGUUACCGGAUAACCCAAAUGUGCUUGUGUGAUAAUACACUCUGAAAGGUCUACAAUGUCUCCCAGCCUGACUUAAUCAAAGAGGUUCUUCUGAACCCAAAGGAGGCCAUGAGAAGUAACCCUGCUGUCUCUACAGCUGCUGUGGCUUUAAAACCACAGUGACUUAGGGAGGAGGUACAGGGCUUUUUCCAGUAGUGUCCCCAAACUGCAGUCACUGGGAGGCUGUGACAUUCUUUUGGGAUGCUGUAAUGCAGUUUGAUCACUGAAUGCAUUCAACUACAGAGGUAUUUUGCAUGACUCUAAGAGGUUAUUAUCACCUCAGUUAAUUAUAUGUAAGGAUUCAGACUCUGGCAAACCUUAAUUAUCCUUCUAUCAAUCUCAAGGUCACAAAAGCUUAGUAGGGCUAUUUUUAGCAAUACAAAUAUCUUCUUUCUGAAUGGAAAAGCUGCUCUUUUUGUUGCAUAUCUUAUUUUUAAAUGCUAAACACAUCAGCCAGAACCGAGAGGUUUUUUCCCCCUUUUAGAAACCACCCUAAGAAUGUGGAAUCCUCAAUGGAUGUGCUAAGACCAAUACCAUCUUCAGAUGUGAAUGUAUGAUGUUAAAAAUCUGGUAUGGGGAUGAGGCAAAAAUUAUCAGAAUGGGGUGCUUGAAGCCCACAUUUAAUCCUAAAAAAUAUGCCCUUGGGAGAGUGGUUUGGUGCCCAGAGCAUUCCAGCUGACAGGUGCCUACAUAAAUUUUCUCAUCCAGCACCUGUUCAAACCUCUGGACACUGGUGUUAUACGCAUGAUACAGGAAUAACAACAGCUUCAUUCACUCAGGGCACAUAUUCAGAUCAAUGCCCCUUUUGUUUCCAGCUCUGAGGGCUGUGAUGGCAUCUCUGAAGGCAUCAGCUGAACAUGUACCAGGUAGCUGCUCUGCCUGAAACUUCAAGCAGCUGGAAACAACAGCAUGGAGAGGGCUGUCCCUCAGUGAAAAGCCUAAUGGAGCUCUCUGCAGUCAAAGACGAAGGGCAAAGUCACACAACAGGAGCCUGCGCUGAUGGCGCUCUGCAAGAACAACGCAGGAUCCUACACCUUUGUAAAGCAAUGAAAUACAGCCUGCUCUCUUCUCCCUCAAGUACAUUCCUGUGUCACCAAACCGCAGCAGCCGACGCUUUCAAGGGUUACAUCGAAACCCUGUGAUCUCUUUCCUCCACCUUUAAUUCUUGCAGCCACCAGCUAUACACAGGCAAGAAACGCCAAGACUGACGAUAUAAUCUCCACAUGUGCAGGCCACUGUGUUUCUGGAAGCAACACUGAACAGCCAGAAGAUCUUUGCCAGUGCCUGUCCCCUCAUUGCCAGCCCAGGCCCAAGCUCGCGGGGAAUACAGAGAAUCUGAAUGGUCUGCCAUGCAGAAAGCAGUCAAGUUGAGACAGGAACUUCCUAUUUCUUGAUCUGACUCAGUCAUAACUUUACAUACUGUCUUCCAACCAAUUUACCUACUCCCAGGAAAUUAGCUUAAUUGUAUGUUGAUGAUAUGCAAUCACAGAGGCCAUUUUUAAAGGUUUAGGCACCCCAGGACGUAUCCAAGUGGACAGUGCUAUUUGUGAAACUAUAGCUGGGAGGCUAAUAAGGGCCUAACUGAAAAAAAUUAGAGAAACAAGCAUUUAUUUCACUUCACUUGAGCCACAGACGUAUGCCAACAACUUCACAGCUUUUCCAUGGUCCUGGACUGCCUUGGACACUGCGAGUCUCACUCCCUUGGCCAGAGACUGCAGCAGGAACGUGGGAGGCAGGGUACAGCAGCAGUGUUGCUGGCACAGGCUCUGUUGUUCGGUGAAGCUGACAUGGGUUUUGUUUUCUAGAGUGUGGGGACGCUGAGGCAGGAUCCUGCCCCAUUUUGACAGCGCUGCCACCCCGUGUCCCUUGGCGUGCACACCUGCCCACUCAACAGGGAGCGACGAGCAGCUCGUCCGCCCCGCUAGGUUAAGUGAUUUGCGGGCCUCGAAGGUACGGAAUUACGGGCAGCAGGCUCCUUCGGAACGGCAGGUCUGCAUCGCUGCCAACACGUAAUGCAGCGUGCGGGCUGCAUUCCAUAAAAUGGCUUCAGGCACAGGCCCUGGAAAAGCGAGCUGGGGGCUGCGGCCACCGCCGCGGGGUCUCGUCCCGCCCCGUCCCGCCCAGCUCUACGCUGCCUGGCAGGGAUUUCUCGCUGCUCUGGGGCCACGUUUGCAGGCAUGGGGAAUACCGCGGCCCUGACUCCAUCUGCCCCUCUAAUGCCAUGAAAGCAUCUUUGAGGGAGCACGGAAGAGGAGGGGAAGGCAACGGGACACGUUCGCUUUCCCGCAAGCCAGGCGGGACAGCUGCACAGCUCCUUAUUUAAGGGGCGAACGUCCGUGUCCGCGCCCCUGCUCGGGCGGCUGCUGCCCCCCGCCCCGCCGAGC